GACGAACGCUGGCGGCGUGCUUAACACAUGCAAGUCGAACGGAAAGGCCCUGCAUUUGUGGGGUGCUCGAGUGGCGAACGGGUGAGUAACACGUGAGUAACCUGCCCUUGACUUUGGGAUAACUUCAGGAAACUGGGGCUAAUACCGGAUAGGAGCUCCUGCUGCAUGGUGGGGGUUGGAAAGUUUCGGCGGUUGGGGAUGGACUCGCGGCUUAUCAGCUUGUUGGUGGGGUAGUGGCUUACCAAGGCUUUGACGGGUAGCCGGCCUGAGAGGGUGACCGGGCACAUUGGGACUGAGAGACGGACCAGACUCGUACGGGAGGCAGCAGUGGGGAAUAUUGCACAAUGGGCGGAAGCCUGAUGCAGCAACGCCGCGUGCGGGAUGACGGCCUUCGGGUUGUAAACCGCUUUCGCCUGUGACGAAGCGUGAGUGACGGUAAUGGGUAAAGAAGCACCGGCUAACUACGUG
rnacentral:rRNA from 1 species